rnacentral:lncRNA from 1 species
UCCGACGCUUUCCUUCCAGUCGCUGACAUCCCAUUCCAGGCUUAUCCUUCCCGGUUCUAAGGCAAAAAUCACUGUCUCUGUCGCUCACCGCAUCACGGCCUCUCUCUCUGAUCCCAAACCCAAACCCUCAUCUGCCGUUUCUGCCUCCAUCUCCACCGCCGCCCCUGUGGCCACAUCGUCGGAGACCUUCAUUUCCAGAUUUGCCCCCGACGAGCCCCGGAAGGGCUGCGAUGUUCUCGUGGAAGCUCUCGAGCGGGAGGGCGUGAAACACGUAUUCGCAUAUCCAGGUGGCGCCUCCAUGGAGAUCCAUCAAGCCUUGACUCGCUCCAACAUCAUCCGAAAUGUGUUGCCGAGACACGAGCAAGGCGGCGUCUUUGCCGCUGAAGGCUACGCCCGCGCGUCCGGUCG